GUCCCCUUCGUCUAGAGGCCUAGGACACCGCCCUUUCACGCCGGUAACAGGGGUUCGAAUCCCCUAGGGGACG
rnacentral:tRNA from 1 species